GGCUGGGUAAGAUCCUUAUCAAUAAUCAAUAUAUUAGAGGAGGCUGGGUAAGAUCCUUAUCAAUAAUCAAUAUAUUAGAGGAGGCUGGGUGAGGUCCUUAUCAAUAAUCAAUAUAUUGGAGGAGGCUGGGUAAGAUCCUUAUCAAUAAUCAAUAUAUUGGAGGAGGCUGGGUAAGAUCCUUAUCAAUAAUCAAUAUAUUAGAGGAGGCUGGGUGAGAUCCUUAUCAAUAAUCAAUAUAUUGGAGGAGGCUGGGUGAGGUCCUUAUCAAUAAUCAAUAUAUUGGAGGAGGCGGGGUGAGGUCCUUAUCAAUAAUCAAUAUAUUGGAGGAGGCGGGGUGAGGUCCUAAUCAAUAAUCAAUA